AUUGAACGCUGGCGGCAGGCCUAACACAUGCAAGUCGAGCGGAUGAAGGGAGCUUGCUCCUGGAUUCAGCGGCGGACGGGUGAGUAAUGCCUAGGAAUCUGCCUGGUAGUGGGGGAUAACGUCCGGAAACGGGCGCUAAUACCGCAUACGUCCUGAGGGAGAAAGUGGGGGAUCUUCGGACCUCACGCUAUCAGGUGAGCCUAGGUCGGAUUAGCUAGUUGGUGGGGUAAAGGCCUGCCAAGGCGACGAUCCGUAACUGGUCUGAGAGGAUGAUCAGUCACACUGGAACUGAGACACGGUCCAGACUCCUACGGGAGGCAGCAGUGGGGAAUAUUGGACAAUGGGCGAAAGCCUGAUCCAGCCAUGCCGCGUGUGUGAAGAAGGUCUUCGGAUUGUAAAGCACUUUAAGUUGGGAGGAAGGGCAGUAAGUUAAUACCUUGCUGUUUUGACGUUACCAACAGAAUAAGCACCGGCUAACUUCGUG
rnacentral:rRNA from 1 species